rnacentral:tRNA from 1 species
GCAUCGGUUGUUCAGUGGUAGAAUGCUCGCCUGCCACGCGGGCUGCCCGGGUUCGAUUCCCGAUCGAUGCA